AGUGGCAGACGGGUGAGUAAUGUAUAGGAAUCUACCUAGUAGUACGGAAUAAUUGUUGGAAACGGCAACUAAUACCGUAUACGCCCUACGGGGGAAAGAUUUAUCGCUAUUAGAUGAGCCUAUAUUAGAUUAGCUAGUUGGUAAGGUAAUGGCUUACCAAGGCAAUGAUCUAUAGCUGAUCUGAGAGGAUGAUCAGCCACACUGGAACUGAGAUACGGUCCAGACUCCUACGGGAGGCAGCAGUGGGGAAUAUUGGACAAUGGGCGAAAGCCUGAUCCAGCCAUGCCGCAUGAGUGAAGAAGGCCUUUGGGUUGUAAAGCUCUUUCGGUGAGGAAGAUAAUGACGGUACUCACAGAAGAAGUCCUGGCUAACUCCGUGCCAGCAGCCGCGGUAAUACGGAGAGGGCUAGCGUUAUUCGGAAUUAUUGGGCGUAAAGAGCGCGUAGGCUGGUUAGUAAGUUAAAAGUGAAAUCCCAAAGCUCAACUUUGGAAUUGCUUUUAAAACUGCUAACCUAGAGAUUGAAAGAGGAUAGAGGAAUUCCUAGUGUAGAGGUGAAAUUCGUAAAUAUUAGGAGGAACACCAGUGGCGAANGCGUCUAUCUGGUUCAAAUCUGACGCUGANGCGCNA
rnacentral:rRNA from 1 species